UACGUAGGGUGCGAGCGUUAAUCGGAAUUACUGGGCGUAAAGCGUGCGCAGGCGGUUCGUUGUGUCCGAUGUGAAAGCCCCGAGCUCAACUUGGGAAUGGCAUUGGAAACUGGCGGGCUGGAGUGUGGCAGAGGGGGGUGGAAUUCCACGUGUAGCAGUGAAAUGCGUAGAUAUGUGGAGGAAUACCGAUGGCGAAGGCAGCCCCCUGGGAUAACACUGACGCUCAUGCACGAAAGCGUGGGGAGCGAACAGG
rnacentral:rRNA from 1 species